GGAGAGGUGGCCGAGAGGCUGAAGGCGGCGGUUUGCUAAACCGUUGUACGAGCUAACACUUGUACCGGGGGUUCGAAUCCCCCCCUCUCCGCCA
rnacentral:tRNA from 1 species